CAGUCGAGCGGACUUGAUGAGAAGCUUGCUUCUCUGAUGGUUAGCGGCGGACGGGUGAGUAACACGUAGGCAACCUGCCCUCAAGCUUGGGACAACUACCGGAAACGGUAGCUAAUACCGAAUACUUGUUUUCUUCGCCUGAAGGGAACUGGAAAGACGGAGCAAUCUGUCACUUGAGGAUGGGCCUGCGGCGCAUUAGCUAGUUGGUGAGGUAACGGCUCACCAAGGCGACGAUGCGUAGCCGACCUGAGAGGGUGAUCGGCCACACUGGGACUGAGACACGGCCCAGACUCCUACGGGAGGCAGCAGUAGGGAAUCUUCCGCAAUGGGCGAAAGCCUGACGGAGCAAUGCCGCGUGAGUGAUGAAGGUUUUCGGAUCGUAAAGCUCUGUUGCCAGGGAAGAACGCUCAGGAGAGUAACUGCUCCUGAGGUGACGGUACCUGAGAAGAAAGCCCCGGCUAACUACGUGCCAGCAGCCGCGGUAAUACGUAGGGGGCAAGCGUUGUCCGGAAUUAUUGGGCGUAAAGCGCGCGCAGGCGGUCAUUUAAGUCUGGUGUUUAAUCCCGGGGCUCAACCCCGGAUCGCACUGGAAACUGGGUGACUUGAGUGCAGAAGAGGAGAGUGGAAUUCCACGUGUAGCGGUGAAAUGCGUAGAGAUGUGGAGGAACACCAGUGGCGAAGGCGACUCUCUGGGCUGUAACUGACGCUGAGGCGCGAAAGCGUGGGGGAGCAAACAGGAUUAGAUACCCUGGUAGUCCACG
rnacentral:rRNA from 1 species